GACGAACGCUGGCGGCGUGCCUAACACAUGCAAGUCGAACGGACUUGAUUUGAUAGCUUGCUAGAGGAUCAAGUUAGUGGCGGACGGGUGAGUAACACGUGGAUAAUCUGCCUGUUACCCUGGGAUAACACUGUGAAAACGGUGCUAAUACCGGAUGACUUCAAUAUUACGCAUGUAGGAUUGAAGAAGGGAAACCGGUAACAGAUGAGUUCGCGGCUGAUUAGCUAGUUGGUGGGGUAAGAGCCUACCAAGGCGACGAUCAGUAGCCGGCCUGAGAGGGUGAACGGCCACACUGGAACUGAGACACGGUCCAGACUCCUACGGGAGGCAGCAGUGGGGAAUUUUCCGCAAUGGGCGAAAGCCUGACGGAGCAACGCCGCGUGGGUGAAGAAGGCCUUCGGGUUGUAAAGCCCUGUCUUAUGGGAAGAAGGAAGUGACGGUACCAUAGGAGGAAGCCACGGCUAACUACGUG
rnacentral:rRNA from 1 species